rnacentral:rRNA from 1 species
UACGUAGGGUGCAAGCGUUGUCCGGAAUCAUUGGGCGUAAAGCGCACGUAGGCGGUUCGUUAUGUCGGAUGUGAAAGCCCCUUGGCUUAACCGAGGAAGUGCAUCCGAAACUGGCGAGCUAGAGUACGAAAGAGGAUCGCGGAAUUCCCCGGUGUAGAGGUGAAAUUCGUAGAUAUCGGGAGGAACACCCGGUGGCGAAGGCGGCGAUCUGGGUCGAUACUGACGCUGAGGUGCGAAAGCGUGGGGAGCAAACAGG